rnacentral:misc_RNA from 1 species
GAUGAAGAACGCAGCGAAAUGCGAUAAGUAAUGUGAAUUGCAGAAUUCAGUGAAUCAUCGAAUCUUUGAACGCACAUUGCGCCCGCUAGUAUUCUGGCGGGCAUGCCUGUCCGAGCGUCAUUUCAACCCUCAAGCCCCCGGCUUGGUGUUGGGGAUCGGCGAGCCUCCGCGCCCGCCGUCCCCUAAAUCUAGUGGCGGUCUCGCUGUAGCUUCCUCUGCGUAGUAGCACACCUCGCACUGGGAAACAGCGCGGCCACGCCGUUAAACCCCCAACUUCUGAAUGUUUGACCUCGGAUCAGGUAGGAAUACCCGCUGAACUUAAGCAUAUCAAUAAGCGGAGGA